AUACCGUGAUGUGGACACUUUCUCAAUAGUUCCUUGAAUCGUUCCCAAGCUUCACAAGUAGAUUCAUCUUCCAACUGUUGAAAGGACAUGAUCUCACUACAAAAUCU